GUCAAUCACCCCGACUGAAGUCGGAGGCAUGUAGGGUAACCUACACGCCCACGGCUUUAGCCGUCGAUUGACCAGGGUAGCGCCGGAGGGGCGGCUUUACGCCGUCCCGCUUGCACGGCGGAGCUGAAACGCUUCGUGGGAGGGGGCACCCGUUGACCACGCACCGCGCGCGGAAGGUUUACCGACCCACUCCGGGAUGCUUCUCCAGUCCCGGACCCUGGAACCUGCGCUGCAGACAACCCCGGGGUAGGUCGAAACGGGCGCAGGUAGUACACCGUUCCGCUGCAUUCCCGAGGGGAGACCGAGGGUGGGCACACC
rnacentral:sRNA from 1 species